UAAAAAAUUAUGAAAAAAAGAGUAGCUUAAUGAGAAUGCUCAGAGAAUAAGCGGUGGGUGUGAGCUUGUGUUUCUCAUUUAGACGAAAAUCAUUUUUCUUCUUGCGGGUCUGAAUAAGAGUAAGAUCUGCCGCUCUGGUAGGCGUUAUCGAUACUCGGCAUUGUUGGAUGCUUGAGCGCUUAUGGAAACAUAAGAAUAAAGGUGGUAACGCGGAAUUUUUCGUCCUUUGU
rnacentral:ncRNA from 1 species